rnacentral:rRNA from 1 species
GACGAACGCUGGCGGCGUGCCUAAUACAUGCAAGUCGAGCGGACUUUUAAAAGCUUGCUUUUAAAAGUUAGCGGCGGACGGGUGAGUAACACGUGGGCAACCUGCCUGUAAGACUGGGAUAACUUCGGGAAACCGGAGCUAAUACCGGAUACGUUCUUUUCUCGCAUGAGAGAAGAUGGAAAGACGGUUUCGGCUGUCACUUACAGAUGGGCCCGCGGCGCAUUAGCUAGUUGGUGGGGUAAUGGCCCACCAAGGCGACGAUGCGUAGCCGACCUGAGAGGGUGAUCGGCCACACUGGGACUGAGACACGGCCCAGACUCCUACGGGAGGCAGCAGUAGGGAAUCUUCCGCAAUGGACGAAAGUCUGACGGAGCAACGCCGCGUGAACGAUGAAGGCUUUCGGGUCGUAAAGUUCUGUUGUUAGGGAAGAACAAGUACCAGAGUAACUGCUGGUACCUUGACGGUACCUAACCAGAAAGCCACGGCUAACUACGUGCCAGCCGCCGCCGUAAAAC